CAGCCGCCGCGGUAAAACGUAGGGUGCAAGCGUUAAUCGGAAUUACUGGGCGUAAAGCGUGCGCAGGCGGUUCUAUAAGACAGAUGUGAAAUCCCCGGGCUCAACCUGGGAACUGCAUUUGUGACUGUAGAGCUGGAGUGCGGCAGAGGGGGAUGGAAUUCCGCGUGUAGCAGUGAAAUGCGUAGAUAUGCGGAGGAACACCGAUGGCGAAGGCAAUCCCCUGGGCCUGCACUGACGCUCAUGCACGAAAGCGUGGGGAGCAAACAGGAUUAGAUACCCCCGUAGUCCCUGUCUCUUAUAC
rnacentral:rRNA from 1 species